rnacentral:rRNA from 1 species
GAUGAACGCUGGCGGCGUGCCUAAUACAUGCAAGUCGAGCGAACAGACGAGGAGCUUGCUCCUCUGACGUUAGCGGCGGACGGGUGAGUAACACGUGGAUAACCUACCUAUAAGACUGGGAUAACUUCGGGAAACCGGAGCUAAUACCGGAUAAUAUAUUGAACCGCAUGGUUCAAUAGUGAAAGACGGUUUUGCUGUCACUUAUAGAUGGAUCCGCGCCGCAUUAGCUAGUUGGUAAGGUAACGGCUUACCAAGGCAACGAUGCGUAGCCGACCUGAGAGGGUGAUCGGCCACACUGGAACUGAGACACGGUCCAGACUCCUACGGGAGGCAGCAGUAGGGAAUCUUCCGCAAUGGGCGAAGGCCUGACGGAGCAACGCCGCGUGAGUGAUGAAGGUCUUCGGAUCGUAAAACUCUGUUAUUAGGGAAGAACAAAUGUGUAAGUAACUAUGCACGUCUUGACGGUAUCUAAUCAGAAAGCCACGGCUAACUACGUG